AAACUACUCCCUCCGUUCGGAAUUAUUUAUCGUAAAAAUGGAUGUAUCUAGACUUAUUUUAGUUCUAGAUACAUCUAUUUUCGAGACAAGUAAUUCCGAACGGAGAAAGUAGUAC
rnacentral:pre_miRNA from 1 species